rnacentral:rRNA from 1 species
UACGAAGGGUGCAAACGUUGCUCGGAAUUAUUGGGCGUAAAGAGCUCGUAGGCGGCUCAGUAAGUCGGAUGUGAAAACUCGGGGCUCAACCCCGAGACGCCAUCCGAUACUGCUGUGGCUUGAGUCUGGUAGGGGAACGCGGAAUUCCUGGUGUAGCGGUGAAAUGCGCAGAUAUCAGGAGGAACACCGGUGGCGAAGGCGCACACCUGGCCCGAUACUGACGCUGAGGCGCGAAAGCUAGGGGAGCAAACGGG